AGCGGCGGAUGGGUGAGUAACACGUGGGGAACCUGCCCCUAAGUCUGGGAUACCAUUUGGAAACAGGUGCUAAUACCGGAUAAUAAAGCAGAUCGCAUGAUCAGCUUUUGAAAGGCGGCGUAAGCUGUCGCUAAGGGAUGGCCCCGCGGUGCAUUAGCUAGUUGGUAAGGUAACGGCUUACCAAGGCGACGAUGCAUAGCCGAGUUGAGAGACUGAUCGGCCACAUUGGGACUGAGACACGGCCCAAACUCCUACGGGAGGCAGCAGUAGGGAAUCUUCCACAAUGGACGCAAGUCUGAUGGAGCAACGCCGCGUGAGUGAAGAAGGUUUUCGGAUCGUAAAGCUCUGUUGUUGGUGAAGAAGGAUAGAGGUAGUAACUGGCCUUUAUUUGACGGUAAUCAACCAGAAAGUCACGGCUAACUAUGUGCCAGCAGCCGCGGUAAUACGUAGGUGGCAAGCGUUGUCCGGAUUUAUUGGGCGUAAAGCGAGCGCAGGCGGAAAAAUAAGUCUAAUGUGAAAGCCCUCGGCUUAACCGAGGAACUGCAUCGGAAACUGUUUUUCUUGAGUGCAGAAGAGGAGAGUGGAACUCCAUGUGUAGCGGUGGAAUGCGUAGAUAUAUGGAAGAACACCAGUGGCGAAGGCGGCUCUCUGGUCUGCAACUGACGCUGAGGCUCGAAAGCAUGGGUAGCGAACAGGAUUAGAUACCCUGGUAGUCCAUGCCGUAAACGAUGAGUGCUAAGUGU
rnacentral:rRNA from 1 species